AUUGGUCUGUAUGAUUUUUUCUUCUGUCAUUCCAUAAAUGUUGAUCUGAUCAGAACAGAUCGGUUCUGUGCGUUGCCUUUGGUCGGGCCUAAGCCCCGCCUCCUCAGCCAGUUUAUAGUGAAGCUGUUCCAGGUCAAACCUGCCUUUAAGACCAGAUAAAUAUAGAUGCAAAAUCAGCCACCGCAACCAGUUUCAGGUUUGGUCAAUCACAUUC